CCUACGGGUGGCAGCAGUGGGGAAUAUUGGACAAUGGGGGAAACCCUGAUCCAGCGACGCCGCGUGAGUGAUGACGGCUUUCGGGAUGUAAAGCUCUGUCUUCAGGGACGAAAAUGACGGUACCUGAGGAAGAAGCCACGGCUAACUACGUGCCAGCAGCCGCGGUAAUACGUAGGGGGCAAGCGUUAUCCGGAUUUACUGGGCGUAAAGGGAGCGUAGGCGGAUGGUUAAGUGUGGUGUGAAAUGCUUGGGCUAAACCUGAGUACUGCAGUGGAAACUGUAAGUCUAGAGUGCAGGAGAGAUGAGCGGAAUUCCUGGUGUAGCGGUGAAAUGCGUAGAUAUCAGGAAGAACACCGGUGGCGAAGGCGAUUCACUGGACUGUAACUGACGCUGAGGCUCGAAAGCGUGGGGAGCAAACAGGAUUAGAUACCCGUGUAGUC
rnacentral:rRNA from 1 species